UUGUCAUGAAAUGACUGUUCCAUUUCCAAAAUAUUAAAACAAAAGUUAUGAGUUUAUGACGCAUCUUAAAAAUGUGAAUUUUUUAAAUUAAAAGGGAAUUUUUAAAAUUGUAUUUGUACAAAAACAUAUUAUUUCUCAAGUUGGUUUAAACUAUUCUACUUAAGCAUAAAUUAGAAUCUGUUGAAAAACAAGUUGCUGGAUUACGUUAUUAUCACAGAAUCUACUAUUAAUACAGAAGAGGAAUUACAAACAUUGGAAGCAAAAUGAAUUAACCGUGAUCAAAACCAUGAAUUUAGGUCUCAAUAUAAAUUGUUGAAAUUACAAUAUAGUCAAUGGGUAAAGAUAUAAAACAUUCAAUUAAACGUAUUAACACAUGGCAUAUCAAAUUGGAUGUUUAGGCUAAAUACUCUAGUUUAACUACUUUUUGGAUAUUACACAUAUUUAUUUAUCUACUACAAUAAAUUCAAAUAUAAAAAAUAUUAUUUUGUGA